CUUCAGCUCUUCAUUCUCUUUUUGCAAAUCAAGAUUAAUCCUCUCUCCUCUUUUGGAUGGUGGCUUCAAUCCAUCUCCACAUCCUCGAAGUCCGCUCGAUUUUUCCUCACCAAGAACCUUGACAAAAGCUUCAUCUUCUUGACAAAAGCUUGCAACUUCAUAAGCUCAUCAUGAACAAUUAAAUUAUAUUAGUAUUUAUAAUUUCCAUAAAUACAUAUACACACAAUAAUUAACUACUCACUUACAUAAACUUCCUUUGAGGCCUCAUCGAUCCAGUUCUUUUUCGUGUUACUAUAACGGCUCAAUCUCCAUGUAGUUGUGCGACUAGGCUCCUCUCCAGUUUCAUUGUCACGCUAAUAUAUAAGUUAGUUAAUAUGACAAGUAUUUCAAAGCAUUUAAAAUAUAAAAGUAUGUAAAUUAAGGUACCUCUUCGUAGCAAAACUGUGCAAUAGAUUUUGUUCUUGGGGAUUAAUGUAAAUUAAGGUACCUCUUCGUAGCAAAACUGUGCAAUAGAUUUUCAUCCGUUCCAUCCACUCCUCUUCAAAGGACUCACAUCAGGCAGAACCUCAGCAAAUUGUUUAAUGCCAUAUACCAUAAGCUUUAAGCU
rnacentral:lncRNA from 1 species